GACGAACGCUGGCGGCGUGCUUAACACAUGCAAGUCGAACGGAAAGGCCUCUUUCGGGGGGUACUCGAGUGGCGAACGGGUGAGUAACACGUGAGUAACCUGCCCUUGACUUUGGGAUAACUUCAGGAAACUGGGGCUAAUACCGGAUAGGAGCUCCUGCUGCAUGGUGGGGGUUGGAAUGUUUCGGCGGUUGGGGAUGGACUCGCGGCUUAUCAGCUUGUUGGUGGGGUAGUGGCUUACCAAGGCUUUGACUGGUAGCCGGCCUGAGAGGGUGACCGGCCACAUUGGGACUGAGAUACGGCCCAGACUCCUACGGGAGGCAGCAGUGGGGAAUAUUGCACAAUGGGUGGAAGCCUGAUGCAGCAACGCCGUGUGCGGGAUGACGGCCUUCGGGUUGUAAACCGCUUUCGCUCAUGACGAAGCUUUGUGUGACGGUAGUGGGUAAAGAAGCACCGGCUAACUACGU
rnacentral:rRNA from 1 species